rnacentral:rRNA from 1 species
CGGGACACGUGGUAUCCUGUCUGAAUAUGGGGGGACCAUCCUCCAAGGCUAAAUACUCCUGACUGACCGAUAGUGAACCAGUACCGUGAGGGAAAGGCGAAAAGAACCCCGGCGAGGGGAGUGAAAAAGAACCUGAAACCGUGUACGUACAAGCAGUGGGAGCACAGAGCAAUCUGUGUGACUGCGUACCUUUUGUAUAAUGGGUCAGCGACUUAUAUUCUGUAGCAAGGUUAACCGAAUAGGGGAGCCGAAGGGAAACCGAGUCUUAACUGGGCGUUAAGUUGCAGGGUAUAGACCCGAAACCCGGUGAUCUAGCCAUGGGCAGGUUGAAGGUUGGGUAACACUAACUGGAGGACCGAACCGACUAAUGUUGAAAAAUUAGCGGAUGACUUGUGGCUGGGGGUGAAAGGCCAAUCAAACCGGGAGAUAGCUGGUUCUCCCCGAAAGCUAUUUAGGUAGCGCCUCGUGAAUUCAUCUCCGGGGGUAGAGCACUGUUUCGGCAAGGGGGUCAUCCCGACUUACCAACCCGAUGCAAACUGCGAAUACCGGAGAAUGUUAUCACGGGAGACACACGGCGGGUGCUAACGUCCGUCGUGAAGAGGGAAACAACCCAGACCGCCAGCUAAGGUCCCAAAGUCAUGGUUAAGUGGGAAACGAUGUGGGAAGGCCCAGACAGCCAGGAUGUUGGCUUAGAAGCAGCCAUCAUUUAAAGAAAGCGUAAUAGCUCACUGGUCGAGUCGGCCUGCGCGGAAGAUGUAACGGGGCUAAACCAUGCACCGAAGCUGCGGCAGCGACGCUUAUGCGUUGUUGGGUAGGGGAGCGUUCUGUAAGCCUGUGAAGGUGUACUGUGAGGUAUGCUGGAGGUAUCAGAAGUGCGAAUGCUGACAUAAGUAACGAUAAAGCGGGUGAAAAGCCCGCUCGCCGGAAGACCAAGGGUUCCUGUCCAACGUUAAUCGGGGCAGGGUGAGUCGACCCCUAAGGCGAGGCCGAAAGGCGUAGUCGAUGGGAAACAGGUUAAUAUUCCUGUACUUGGUGUUACUGCGAAGGGGGGACGGAGAAGGCUAUGUUGGCCGGGCGACGGUUGUCCCGGUUUAAGCGUGUAGGCUGGUUUUCCAGGCAAAUCCGGAAAAUCAAGGCUGAGGCGUGAUGACGAGGCACUACGGUGCUGAAGCAACAAAUGCCCUGCUUCCAGGAAAAGCCUCUAAGCAUCAGGUAACAUCAAAUCGUACCCCAAACCGACACAGGUGGUCAGGUAGAGAAUACCAAGGCGCUUGAGAGAACUCGGGUGAAGGAACUAGGCAAAAUGGUGCCGUAACUUCGGGAGAAGGCACGCUGAUAUGUAGGUGAAGCGACUUGCUCGUGGAGCUGAAAUCAGUCGAAGAUACCAGCUGGCUGCAACUGUUUAUUAAAAACACAGCACUGUGCAAACACGAAAGUGGACGUAUACGGUGUGACGCCUGCCCGGUGC